CAGAAAAUGAGUUGAUAGUACAC
rnacentral:piRNA from 1 species